rnacentral:lncRNA from 1 species
UCUAAAAGGCCCAAUUUAAUCAAAAUACAUCCGCUCCAAACCCAUCCCAAAUCUGAGCCCAAAUUAUUCAAAUUACCCGCCCUAGCCAAUACCCUAACCCGCGACUCGUUCCCCCUAAACCGCCGCACAACCCCUCAUAUCAGCAUCAUAUAAUAUUUCCCUAAAACAAAACUUAAAUCCUAAGAUCCCAAAAAACGACAAUCAAGCAUUGUUUACCGUCUCUUUCAUCCGAGCCAACCUUAACUCGCCUGAAACUCAGAUGAGUUCACUCACACCAGAGGCCCCAUCUAUCCACGUCACUCUAAUCUUAACGGAUUUCUGACAAAAUAGAAGAUUCCUUCCGAUUUUUGCAUGUUUUUUGGACCCUUGAGCGAUUAGUUGGAGGAAUGAGAGCCGUGGAUGGAUGGGAAUCAAUCCAUUCCUUCCAUUUGUCCCUAAAAUCAUUCAUAAAGGAUCGCAUUUUUCGGAUUGUUUGAAGGAGGUUGGAGAAAUAUGGAAGGCUUAUAUAAGGUAAGGAUUUUUCUUGG